rnacentral:rRNA from 1 species
CGCCCUACGGGGGAAAAAUUUAUUGCUAUUAGAUGAGCCUAUAUUAGAUUAGCUAGUUGGCGGAGUAAUAGCCUACCAAGGCAAUGAUCUAUAGCUGAUCUGAGAGGAUGAUCAGCCACACUGGAACUGAGAUACGGUCCAGACUCCUACGGGAGGCAGCAGUGGGGAAUAUUGGACAAUGGGCGAAAGCCUGAUCCAGCCAUGCCGCAUGAGUGAAGAAGGCCUUUGGGUUGUAAAGCUCUUUUAGUGAGGAAGAUAAUGACGGUACUCACAGAAGAAGUCCUGGCUAACUCCGUGCCAGCAGCCGCGGUAAUACGGAGAGGGCUAGCGUUAUUCGGAAUUAUUGGGCGUAAAGGGCGCGUAGGCGGAUUAGUAAGUUAAAAGUGAAAUCCCAAGGCUCAGCCUUGGAAUUGCUUUUAAAGCUGCUAAUCUAGAGAUUGAAAGAGGAUAGAGGAAUUCCUAGUGUAGAGGUGAAAUUCGUAAAUAUUAGGAGGAACACCAGUGGCGAAGGCGUCUAUCUGGUUCAAAUCUGGCGCUGAGGCGCGAAGGCGUGGGGAGCAAACAGGAUUAGAUACCCUGGUAGUCCACGCUGUAAACGAUGAAUGCUAAAUAUGGGAAGUUUUACUUUCUGUAUUACAGCUAACGCGUUAAACAUUCCGCCUGGGGACUACGGUCGCAAGAUUAAAACUCAAAGGAAUUGACGGGGACCCGCACAAGCGGUGGAGCAUGUGGUUUAAUUCGAUGCAACGCGAAAAACCUUACCACUCCUUGACAUGGAAAUUAUACCUAUUCGAAGGGAU